AUGAGAGACAGCAGUUGGCAAGACAGUGAGAGACAGCAAGAGAUGGCAAGUGACAGUUAUUGUUAAGAUGACAAAUGGAGAGAUGGCAAGAAAUAGAGAAGCAGUCAGUGAUGGAGGCUGCAAGAGUUGUAACACUAACCAAAGGCUCUUUUUAGAAUCAUCAUUUUCCCUGGCAGGUGGUACAGCCAAGCAGACAGGCAAGUGGCCAUACUGCUGCUGCCUCAUGUAGGAUCCGGCAGGCUGGUGGGUUAUCAGUCCUCACGUGGGACCCUCCCACCAUGGCAGCUGAGCACAUCCAAGCUGGGGGAUCCUGAAGAGACCUUCACCUGGGUGCCACGUGGAAGAUUGGCCAGCACCAUUUUGACUCCUGUGGAUGGCUAAAGUGACCCAGCAGGCUUCCUGAGCCUUAGGCAUUACCUGUCAUCUUCACUCUUGGAGACCUCAGUCCUCAGUUCCAGGUAAAGACAAUCCUUGCACAAGGCUUCCAACUCGACCCACCUACUGACCUGGAGAAUGAAAGUGUCCUGCCUCGGGGCCCCUCAGAUCAGCACCCAAACUGCACCUGGUCACCUGUCUACAUUCAGAUUUGGAUGAAAGCCACACCAUGGAGGCAGCCAGAGGCCCAUGGGAGAUGUCUGGAUUCGCAGAGC
rnacentral:lncRNA from 1 species